rnacentral:lncRNA from 1 species
GGUGGCACUGCCACAAUGGCGCACCUGGGGACUAGGAGCACGCCGCCGACCAACGAGAUGGAGUCGCCGCCGGUCACCGGAGAUCCGCGCUCUGUUGGGCGGGCAUGUAGCAGAUCUGCGUGCUGGUUCCGCCCAGAGGCUUCCGUGUUGUUAGUUGGUGAGAUGGGGAGCUGGCUCUGCCCAGAGGCCGCCCACCGCUAGCCGCUGUCUUUAGCUAGGGCAAUGGGGAAUGAAACUGGUACAGAGAGGGCUCAAGGGUCCUAUUGGGCGUAUAUUGACGUUGGGGGCCAUCAUAUUUGAAAUAACAAAUAGUGACGCUCCACAGCCAUCACAUAAAG